AGGCAAAGAUGAUCAGAAUAUACCAUCAAACUCUGAAGCAAUUCAUUGAUGUACUAUGCCUUUUAUCUGCUGAGCCU
rnacentral:snoRNA from 1 species